AUUAGCUGGAGAGUUUGAUCCUGGCUCAGGACGAACGC
rnacentral:rRNA from 1 species